rnacentral:rRNA from 1 species
GCGAAUAGCUCAGUAACACGUGGCCAAACUACCCUUCGGAACACAAUCCUCGGGAAACUGAGGCUAAUAGUGUAUACCACACUCACUCUGGAAUGACAAGUGUGCCAAACGCUCCGGCGCCGAAGGAUGUGGCUGCGGCCGAUUAGGUAGACGGUGGGGUAACGGCCCACCGUGCCGAUAAUCGGUACGGGUGGUGAGAGCCAGAACCCGGAGACGGAAUCUGAGACAAGAUUCCGGGCCCUACGGGGCGCAGCAGGCGCGAAACCUUUACACUGCACGACAGUGCGAUAAGGGGAUCCCAAGUGCGCAGGCAUAGAGCCUGCGCUUUUGUACACCCUAGGGAGGUGUACGAAUAAGGGCUGGGCAAGACCGGUGCCAGCCGCCGCGGUAAUACCGGCAGCCCAAGUGAUGGCCGAUCUUAUUGGGCCUAAAGCGUCCGUAGCUGGCCGCGCAAGUCCAUCGGGAAAUCCACCUGCUCAACAGGUGGACGUCCGGUGGAAACUGCACGGCUUGGGACCGGAAGGCGCGACGGGUACGUCCGGGGUAGGAGUGAAAUCCCGUAAUCCUGGACGGACCGCCGAUGGCGAAAGCACGUCGCGAAAACGGAUCCGACAGUGAGGGACGAAAGCUAGGGUCUCGAACCGGAUUAGAUACCCGGGUAGUCCUAGCCGUAAACAAUGCCUGCUAGGUGUGGCUCCCACUACGAGUGGGUGCUGUGCCGUAGGGAAGCCGCUAAGCAGGCCGCCUGGGAAGUACGUCCGCAAGGAUGAACUUA